rnacentral:lncRNA from 1 species
CCCAAUCCACCGAAGUGCUCACAUUUGACGAACACCGCUUCUCAAAUCUAAUUCACCGAAGAAUCAAAUGUUUCCAGCCCCACUCCUAAACAAUCAACCAAAUCCAAGCAUUCAAACUCAACAUUCUUGAAAAUUGCAAACUAACUCCCAUAACAAAAAAUCCCUAACAGGCAUCAUAAAGGGUAAAAAGCUACUUACGAAAUACUCCAACUGCAGAACAUACAAUAACAAGCACCCAAACGAUUAAACAAAAUUGAAGAACUCCACGCCGCCAUUUGACCAAACGAAAGGGAGAGAAGGAAAAAAGAAAAAAACAACACAGUAUGGAAGAUAGGACAAAUGAAUGUGAAUUUAGGGAAAGGAAAAAUUUUGGAAAAAGAAAAUAAAAUAAAAAAACUAAUUAACAUAUCCCUAAAAUCACUCUAACUCACCACUACCCCACUAACC